rnacentral:rRNA from 1 species
UACGUAGGGUGCAAGCGUUGUCCGGAAUUAUUGGGCGUAAAGAGCUCGUAGGUGGCCUGUCGCGUCGGCUGUGAAAACUCGGGGCUCAACUCCGAGCUUGCAGUCGAUACGGGCAGGCUAGAGUUCGGCAGGGGAGACCGGAAUUCCUGGUGUAGCGGUGAAAUGCGUAGAUAUCUGGAGGAAUACCGGUGGCGAAGGCGGCAUCCUGGACCGACAUUGACGCUGAGGAGCGAAAGCUAGGGGAGCAAACGGG